UAGGGAAUCUUCGGCAAUGGACGAAAGUCUGACCGAGCAACGCCGCGUGAGUGAAGAAGGUUUUCGGAUCGUAAAACUCUGUUGUUAGAGAAGAACAAGGACGUUAGUAACUGAACGUCCCCUGACGGUAUCUAACCAGAAAGCCACGGCUAACUACGUGCCAGCAGCCGCGGUAAUACGUAGGUGGCAAGCGUUGUCCGGAUUUAUUGGGCGUAAAGCGAGCGCAGGCGGUUUCUUAAGUCUGAUGUGAAAGCCCCCGGCUCAACCGGGGGAGGUCAUUGGAAACUGGGAGACUUGAGUGCAGAAGAUGAUGGUGGAAUUCCAUUUGUAGCGGUGAAAUGCGUAGAUAUAUGGAGGAACACCAGUGGCGAAGGCGGCUCUCUGGUCUGUAACUGACGCUGAGGCUCGAAAGCGGGGGGAGCAAACAGG
rnacentral:rRNA from 1 species